UCCGAUAUAGUCUAGAGGUUAGGAUAUCCCGCUUUCAAGACUCAGCAAAUGAGAAAAGAUGCUCCGGGAAGACCCGUGUUCAAUUUCCCAGUAUCGGGA